GUGGAACGGGAGGGGGGCUGGUGCUCCAGGCUGCGGUCCUGCGCCCGGCGGAGGACGACGGCAAGGAGGGGUCGGCAAAGCGGCCGAAGCCGCCGCCGACCGCCGAGCCCGACGGCGUGGUGGGAAGCAGACACGGCCACGGCGACACUGCUCCACGGCGUGCGCGAAGAGCACGCCACUCUGUACGACCCCAAGCGGCGGGGCUUCCUCUGCUGCCGCGCAUUCGGCGGCUAUGCAUGCGACCCUACCGUGUUCGACCACGACGAAGAAUGGGAGAAGAUCCGACGUGACCAAAUGCAUCUUCAUAGAACACCUUGAUUUUUGACCCAAAAUAGAUGACGCCUUGCCUCUCUCUUGAUGAUCUCACAGCAACGGCUCGAAUCGCGCGGCCGCUGGACAGGAUCCCGACUCCGAACGAGACAACCUGGAGCUCGCGCUGAACGCCCUCCAUCUCAAGGUCCGGUGAGCGUCUUCGGGACCGUGCUGAUGAGAGAUGACCUAGACUUCAAAUGCAUCUACCUCUUCCAACGUGACAGAGAAAACUGGCAGGUAUAUGCAUGAUCCUAAGAGCGGGCACUUGGAUGUUGUUUAUCGAAUACUAUGAUAUUUAAAGGAUUCCUGUUCAAAAGUGGUGGUCAUAUAAAUGUUGAAGGCUAUUGUGAUGCAGAUUGGGCAAGCUGUCUUGAUUAUAGAAGACCGACCUCUGGUUACUGUGUUUUUGUUGGAGGAACUUAGUAUCAUGGAGAAGCAAAAAGCAAUCAAUUGUGUCCCGUUCAACUGCUGAAGCAUAGUAUAGAGCUAUGUCACUUUGAGUGAAAUGUUGUGGGUGAGGAGCCUCCUAUCAGAGUUAAAUGUGCUAAGAAAAGGCCCUUUGAAGUUUUGGUGUGAUAACAAAUCAGCUAUUAACAUAGCUAAUAAUCUAGUUCAGCAUGAUCAGACAAAAUAUGUGGAGAUCGAUCACUUCUUUAUUAAAGAGAAGAUAGAUGAUGGUAUACUACAAUUGAGUCAUGUAAACUCCGAAGGUCAAAUAGCAGACUAUCUAAGGGUUUAGGAGUAAAAGGCUGUAAUAUAGUAUGUACCAGGAUAGGAAUAAUAGAUAUCUAUUAUCCA